rnacentral:lncRNA from 1 species
UCAACAUCUUACUUUCAAAAUCUUAGCUUGCGGUCAUCAUCAUGAAUCAAUUCGACAAUCUACUUGCAAAUCCUUUUUAAUACUUGUCAUAUGAAGAGAAACAAUGAAGAUAAACUAUAGAUAAAAUGUAUCAGUGCUCAUCGGCCAUUGGACAUAAACAUUACAAAACUAUUGGAAAUCGCAAAUUCAACGAUGAGUGGUUUGGAAGGAAUCGGUUACAGUGGCUAACUGCAAGCACUGUAACUGGGACGUCGGGAAUAAACGAGCUCAGACUGGGAAAAUAUGUUUUAAACGGUCAUCCAAAUCCAACUAGGAAUUGUAAAUCCGUCCUCUUUCUCUUUCCUUGAUGACAAAAUGUGACCACAAAGGACUGCCGCGCCACCUUCCUGUUCAAGUGAGCACAUCACAACAAGAACAAAGACCCAACAUACCUCCAGGUUGUAUAAGGGCUAUUUGACCAAGAAGGAGAGUGAUGGAGUGCUGCAUCAGAUGACCUGGCCUCCACAAUCACCCGAAGUAUUCCAGAUCCUCUCGAGUUCUGUAAGGUUGGAUGGGGAGCGUCGCUCGGGUUCAAGUCUGGGCUCUGGCUGGGCCAGUCAAGGACAUUCAGAGACUUGUCCCGUAGUCUAGGCUAUGUACUUUGGGUCGUUGGCCUGUUGAAGGUGAACCUUGGCCCCAGUCUGAGGUUCUGAGCAGUCUGGAGCAGGUUUUCAUCAAG